AACGAACGCUAGCGGCAUGCCUAACACAUGCAAGUCGAACGAGACCUUCGGGUCUAGUGGCGCACGGGUGCGUAACGCGUGGGAACCUGCCUUUAGGUUCGGAAUAACUCAGAGAAAUUUGAGCUAAUACCGGAUGAUGUCUUCGGACCAAAGAUUUAUCGCCUUUAGAUGGGCCCGCGUUGGAUUAGCUAGUUGGUGGGGUAAAGGCCUACCAAGGCGACGAUCCAUAGCUGGUCUGAGAGGAUGAUCAGCCACACUGGGACUGAGACACGGCCCAGACUCCUACGGGAGGCAGCAGUGGGGAAUAUUGGACAAUGGGCGAAAGCCUGAUCCAGCAAUGCCGCGUGAGUGAUGAAGGCCUUAGGGUUGUAAAGCUCUUUUACCCGAGAUGAUAAUGACAGUAUCGGGAGAAUAAGCUCCGGCUAACUCCGUG
rnacentral:rRNA from 1 species